GUGCAUAUCAGCCCCCAUAGGAGAAGUAGACCUCAAGCUUUCAUCUCCCUCUAUUUUGCAAAUCGUUCGGUGAAAUCGAAUUCUAGACGCGUACUCCCCGAUGACUUGAGGCGAAGGAACCUAUAGUGCAUUUUGGAGACAAAGGAGUGAACCUAGAAGGUAGAGAAGUAUCAAGGUGAAAUAUGCUUAUGUUCAUAAGCCUAAGAGGUUAGAGUUGAUAGUAUGUCAGUGUGGUUGGGCAGCUUUGCAAUUUUUGGCGGGUCACUGGUGAUCAACAUGGUUAAAAGUCGUGGCAUGUUGUAUAAUAGUUCAAUCUUUGAUCUUUCGCUGGAUAAAUGGUGGACAUGCCGUGGGAUGUUCUCUACAAUCAACUAUUGUUCCUGGAGAGACGAUACUUGUCAUUCUCUGCGCUGGUGAAGGAGAAUGGUACGUUUUGGGAAGUGACGAAUAAUGUCGUUGAGGCAAUCGACGAAAUUUGGACCUCUAUUUUUUAGUAUUUUCUUUAAUCUGUUGCUACUACACCAUCAAGCAAAAUUUUGUUGGUGUUUAACGUGAAUGCGUGAAUGAAGAAAAAUAAACUAGCUGGAGUGUACCAUCAAUCAACCAACUAUCUAUCAAGUUCGGGCUGAAGGAGCUUAAACAAGAAUAAGACAAGGAGGUUAUCAUCCUCUCGGACACAACUAUUAAUAUGGUUGCAAUUGUGCCCAUCGUUUCAGACGGCCAGUCAGACACUGAUGAAACUGUGGUCUCCCCUGUUUGGGCCAAAGAACCAAAAUCGCGUCGAAUAUUGUUCGAUGAAGACCAAAACAACGGAGAAGGCAAGAGGCAUCUAACGAGGUAACUAAGUACUACUACACCAAGCACCCGAAUGAGAAUCUGGAGAAGAGAGAGCCACCCGCACUCCCGCGUGAAGUUCGUGGUUGCCCUCCAAUGUCGAAUGUGAAAGGAUAUGAGCUAGAUUAGAUUAAUAUGGAUUAAAUAAUUAUAGUUGAGCUAUAAUUAUAAUAGUCCAUAAGCCCUAUAAUCAUGGAACCCUAGUGACUCACCCUAUAUAAUGGUUAUUUAUUCUCCAUUGUGGGAGAGAAAAAAUAGCAUAACAUCAGAGAGAAAAUACGUAAAGCUUUGUAGAGAGAAUUCCUAGCUUUCUUCUACGGAGCGAUUGUACCGAUGAAUUGUUCUUGCAUCGGAUCAGAAUA